AUUGAACGCUGGCGGCAUGCCUUACACAUGCAAGUCGAACGGCAGCACGGGUGCUUGCACUUGGUGGCGAGUGGCGAACGGGUGAGUAAUAUAUCGGAACGUACCUUAUUGUGGGGGAUAACGCAGCGAAAGCUGUGCUAAUACCGCAUAAUCCCUAAGGGGGAAAGCGGGGGAUCGCAAGACCUCGCGCGAUUGGAGCGGCCGAUAUCAGAUUAGGUAGUUGGUGAGGGAAAGGCUCACCAAGCCAACGAUCUGUAGCUGGUCUGAGAGGACUACCAGCCACACUGGGACUGAGACACGGCCCAGACUCCUACGGGAGGCAGCAGUGGGGAAUUUUGGACAAUGGACGCAAGUCUGAUCCGGCCAUUCCGCGUGCAGGACGAAGGCCUUCGGGUUGUAAACUGCUUUUGUACGGAACGAAAAGGUUUCUAUUAAUACUAGGGGCUCAUGACGGUACCGUAAGAAUAAGCACCGGCUAACUACGUGCCAGCAGCCGCCGUAA
rnacentral:rRNA from 1 species